CGUUAAGGCUGGGCUGUGAUGGGGAGGGAAAAUUGCAGUACCGAAGGUCAUGAGCUCCGGCUGCCAAGAAAAGCCUCUAGCCAGGCGAAGGUGCCCGUACCGCAAACCGACACAGGUAGGCGAGCAGAGCAUGCGAAGGCGCGCGGAAGAACUCUCGUUAAGGAACUCGGCAAAAUGACCCCGUAACUUCGGGAGAAGGGGUGCCUCGGUAGGGUGAAUAGCCCGAGGGGGCCGCAGUGAAAAGGCCCAAGCGACUGUUUAGCAAAAACACAGGUCUGUGCGAAGCCGCAAGGCGAAGUAUACGGGCUGACGCCUGCCCGGUGCUGGAAGGUUAAGGGGAGCGGUUAGGGCUUAGCCCGAAGCUGUGAACCGAAGCCCCAGUAAACGGCGGCCGUAACUAUAACGGUCCUAAGGUAGCGAAAUUCCUUGUCAGGUAAAUUCUGACCCGCACGAAUGGCGUAACGACUUGGGCGCUGUCUCAACGAGAGAUCCGGUGAAAUUUUAGUACCUGUGAAGAUGCAGGUUACCCGCGACAAGACGGAAAGACCCCAUGGAGCUUUACUGCAGCUUGAUAUUGGACUGUGGUACGAUCUGUACAGGAUAGGUGGGAGCCUGAGAGGUGGGCGCGCAAGCGUCCGCGGAGGCGCCGUUGGGAUACCACCCUGAUCGUAUCGGAGUUCUAACCUGGAACCGUGAAGCCGGUUCGGGGACCGUGUCAGGUGGGCAGUUUGACUGGGGCGGUCGCCUCCUAAAGUGUAACGGAGGCGCCCCAAGGUUCCCUCAGAAUGGUUGGAAAUCAUUCGAAGAGUGCAAAGGCAUAAGGGAGCUUGACUGCGAGACCUACAAGUCGAGCAGGGACGAAAGUCGGGCUUAGUGAUCCGGUGGUACCGCAUGGAAGGGCCAUCGCUCAACGGAUAAAAGCUACCCUGGGGAUAACAGGCUUAUCUCCCCCAAGAGUCCACAUCGACGGGGAGGUUUGGCACCUCGAUGUCGGCUCAUCGCAUCCUGGGGCUGAAGUAGGUCCCAAGGGUUGGGCUGUUCGCCCAUUAAAGCGGUACGCGAGCUGGGUUCAGAACGUCGUGAGACAGUUCGGUCCCUAUCUGUCGUGGGCGCAGGAAAUUUGAGAGGAGCUGUCCUUAGUACGAGAGGACCGGGAUGGACGUACCGCUGGUGUACCAGUUGUUCCGCCAGGAGCAUCGCUGGGUAGCUAUGUACGGAAGGGAUAAGCGCUGAAAGCAUCUAAGCGCGAAGCCCCCCUCAAGAUGAGAUUUCCCAGUAUGUAAGACCCCUGGUAGACGACCAGGUUGAUAGGUUCGGGGUGGAAGCGUGGCAACACGUGCAGCUGACGAAUACUAAUCGGUCGAGGGCUUAUCCU
rnacentral:rRNA from 1 species